CAGCAAACUAUCGCAAGGACAAAAAACCAAACACCGCAUGUUCUCACUCAUAGGUGGGAACUGAACAAUGAGAAAUUUGCAUCUUUCAUAAGUACUUUCUUCACCUUUCAUUUUCUCAUUCUUCUAAGUAUCUGUGAAUGCCAGAGACCAGCCCUGUGGCCAGCAAUCUUCUGAUGGCCCUGAGAAUCUGCCCUGCAACAUUAUCUUCCUGCCCACUGUGCCAUCAUCCUAGAAAAUCUAUUUUUUGGUAUAAAUUUAAGGGGCACAAUUAUAAUUUUGUUACCUGGCUAUAUUACAUAGUGGUGAAGUUUGGGCUUUUAGUGCAUCUAUCAUCUGAAUAAUAUAUCUUGUAAUCAUUAAGUAAUUUCUCAUCCCUCACUCUCCUUCCAUCCCCGCACCCUUCCAAGUUUCCAACGAUUAUUAUUUUAUUCUCUAUGUCCAUCUGUACACAUUUUUUAGCUCCCACAUGUAAGUGAGAACAUGGGGUAUUUGCCUUUCUGAGUUGUUUCACUUAGGAUAAUGACCUUCAGUUCCAUUCACUUUGCUGCAAAAGACAUGAUUUUAUUCCUUUCUAUGACUGGAUAGUAUUCCAUUGUGUAUAUAUACCACAUUUUCUUUAUCCAGUUAUCUGCUGAUGGAGACUUAGGUUGAUUCCAUGUUUCUGCUAUUGUGGAUAGUGCUGUGAUAAACAUAUAAGUGUAGGUGUCUUUUUUAUGUAAUGAUUUUUUUCCUUUGGGUGGAUGCUCAAUAGUGGGAUUGUUGGAUCAAAUGGUAAAGUUCUAUUUUUAGUUCUUUGAGAAUGCUCUAUACUGUUUUCCAUAGAGGUUGCAUUAAUUUUAAUUCCCACCAACAGUGUAUGAGCAUUACCUUUUCUCUGCAUCUUUGCCAACAUCUGUUAUUUUUUCUUUUUAAUGAUAGCCAUUCUGACUGGUAUAAGACGAUAUCUCAUGGGGUUUUAAUUUGCAUUUCUCAAAUGAUUAGUGAUGUUGAGCAUUUUUUUCAUAUGCUUGUUGGCCAUUUGUAUGUCUUCUUUUGAGAAAUGUCUAUUCGUGGAUUUUGCCUACUUUUUAAUGGGGUAAUUGAGAAAAUCCAAUGUUAAACGGACAUUUUUUAGUUGGCCAAAUACAAAACACAGGAUUUAGAUUUUUGGACAUUUUGAAGGAAUGAUGGAUGCAUGAAGAAAGAGCUUUACACACAGCCAAGGUGGGACAUGACUCUUUGGAGAUUGCUCUGCAGAAUUCACAGCAGUGACACAUCACCUCUCUGUUGUGUUGGUGUAAUACACUCUGCAACAGGUCACCCAAACUCCCAGGCAUUAGAAAUCAAACUCACCUCUAUAAACCAAAGAUUUACAAAGGAGCUACUAAUAUGAACUCUCUUCAGCAUUUUAGAUAAAUAUACCAUGUAUCAUUAUUUAACAUAAUUAUCAGCAUAUUGCUAAAUAGGUCUUCUUUCCUGCUUGGUGUUGAGUAAAAUUGAAUCAAGAUGGUGCAGUGGGAAGACUAUGCACUUUGUGUAGGGUUCUCAAAGGACUGUGUCCUGACUCUGUCAUUAAUAAGCUACCUGGCCCCUUGGGCAUAACCCUGC
rnacentral:lncRNA from 1 species